GAAAAAGAUGUACCUCGAUAAAUAACAUCAUUCGAAGAAGCCGGCCUGCGCCCACUACUACUUCAAAACAUUAAGAUUGCUGGCUACAUAAAAUCAACACCUAUACAGAAAGCUUCAGUUGCAGAUAUUCUUGCCAAAAGAGAUUUGAUUACUUGUGCUGUCACGGGCUCCGGCAAAACGGUAAUCCAAUUAAUGAACGCUGUGUAAUUUUGAAACCUUGAUGCCUUCGUACUAACUUGAUUCGAAUGGGUCGAUAUGAACUGGGUAAGUUGAGGUAAAAGUAAUUUUGAGUGGGCACGUCUGUGAUUGCGACUACGAAAAGGUCCAAUUGCAUUUAAGAUACUCAAGAAACCCUUCGUGACAUUCGUUGAUUAAGUCAUCUAAAAUUUCACAUUUUUUCAUAUAGGCGGCGUACUUGGUACCGUUUAUGAACAUAUUGUUAGAACAAGGUGUUUCUGGUGCAUCCCCGCCAUGGUUCAAAAGCCAGAAGUUGUAAUUGUCGCACGCACUCGUGAAUUUUCGAUUCAAAUUCACCGCGGGGCGUGUAAAUUCUCCUACAAUUCGGUUUUAAAAUCUGUCAUAUAUCAAGGAACUGUCACGAGCCAUCAUCGGUCAAAUCUUCAAGCUGGGUGCAAUACUCUUGUCGCGACCGCGGGGCGACUCGAGGAUUUUCUCAAUUAGUGUCACGUCAGGUAAUCUAUGGUAACACAGAUUCCGUAAUGGUGAAAUUCGGUGUACCCACGGUGGCCGAAGCCAUGGAAUUAGGCCGAGAAGCUGCCGCAUUUGUGUCGGCAAAAUUUGUCAAACCCAUUAAUUUGGAAUUCGAAAAAGUCUAUUACCCCUAUUUAUUGAUCAACGAAAAGAGGUAUCCAGGAUUGUAUUGGACCAAACCUGAAAAGUUUGACAAAAUGGAUUGUAAGGGUUUAGAAACUGUUCGUCGUGAUAAUUGUCAACUCGUUGCCAAUCUUAUCAAUAGCUGGUCUGCAGAAAAGUUUGAUUGAUCGAGAUCCGGGUGGAGCACUAGAAUAC